GAGAGCACCAAGUUGGAUACUGCGAACACAUAUCUAUAAUAAAAAAGUCCCCCACCAUAUAUUUCUUUAUUUACAUAAAAAAACUAAAAAAAAAAACUUCAUAAUAUAGGGAAACGAGGCAAACUUACUAAACAAAUCCCUCUGUCAUUUGCCUAAUAUUAACAAAAUUGCGAGCAUGUCUGAUGUCUUUCAUAAUUCAAAUAAUAAAAUCAAAUGUUGCCCCCGUCAUCCUACCACAACGGUCCAUUCUACGCGCUUUUCCACUUCAAAUUGGCCGCUAAAAAACAAAACAAGGCAACUAGCCAAGCCACACUUCUUCAUCAUCUAACUAUUACUAAAAAAACAAAAGAUGAAAAAUCAUGACCA
rnacentral:misc_RNA from 1 species